rnacentral:rRNA from 1 species
AAUCAACGCUGGCGGCGUGCCUCAGACAUGCAAGUCGAACGAUUAAGACUUCCUUCGGGAAGUGCAUAAAGUGGCGCACGGGUGAGUAACACGUAAGUAAUCUACCCUCGAGUGGGGAAUAACGUUCGGAAACGAACGCUAAUACCGCAUAAUGCAGCGGCAUCGCAAGAUGACAGUUGUUAAAGGAGUAAUUCGCUUGAGGAGGAGCUUGCGGCAGAUUAGCUAGUUGGUAAGGUAACGGCUUACCAAGGCUACGAUCUGUAUCCGGUCUAAGAGGACGGUCGGACACACUGACACUGAAUAACGGGUCAGACUCCUACGGGAGGCAGCAGUCGGGAAUUUUGGGCAAUGGGCGAAAGCCUGACCCAGCAACGCCGCGUGAAGGAUGAAGUAUUUCGGUAUGUAAACUUCGAAAGAAUGGGAAGAAUAAAUGACGGUACCAUUUAUAAGCUCCGGCUAACUACGUGCCAGCCGCCGCGGUAAAAC